AGAAAAGCAAGAGUCAAGGAAGUGACAUAGAAGAAGCUAGUUACAAUGGCUUUACCAAACAUCAACUAGGAGAAAUGGUUACCAACUUGACCACCCCCAGUGAUGUCAUCAAAUGCCUUUUUAAGGCACUAUUUACUGUUGAAGAAUUGACGUCAUCAAGUGUGACGGGGAAGAAGACAGUGAAAGGGGACAUGAAGGAUGGAUUAGAGGAAACUAAAAGACAAUGUGCAGAAGCCGUUGUUCAAAAUAAAUUUCCUGAAAUGUCCAUCAAAGAAAUUUGAAAUAAAAUGAGGGACAGACUAAAGAUGUUCAGGAGGAGCCACCUUCCCCAACCAUCAGAAUAAUGAGAUAAGAUUUCUCAAAAACAAUUUAUAUUUUGAACUAUUUUAGUUGUUAUAUUAAGUAGUAGUUUUAUUUUAA